GGGCAAAAGCAUCUUCAUCGGGCUUUUGUUCAGGUUACAAGUUAGGGAGAGAGAUUUACCCCCCGGGGAUAUAUCAGAGUAUCAAUAUCGUGCCAUGAAACAGAUGCAAAGUAGCCAUUCCAUUAGAGAACAUUUUACACGCACGACAUUAUUCAUCAUACCAUUAACUAGUGAUUCAUGCACGUGGACGUAACCACGCAACACACAGCCUACUUGCUCGUCUCGUUCUAACAAACCUACGAGUAACACAACCGGAAGCUCCCAGCAAACUCGACUCAGAGCUAGCGUCUUGCCAUGCCAUCAUCAGGCCACAAAACCCAAACUUUUACACAGACUCAGCCUCACUGCUCACUCCUGGACACACACAUAAGCAAAAGAUAAUACUACGUACUACGUACUACACGUGAUCGAUACAUGCAUGCAUGCAUGCAGCGUACGUGUGCUGGCGCGUACACGGCUCAAGGCGUGACGCCGCCGCCACCGAANNN
rnacentral:lncRNA from 1 species